rnacentral:rRNA from 1 species
AACGAACGCUGGCGGCAUGCCUAACACAUGCAGGUCGAACGAGACCUUCGGGUCUAGUGGCGCACGGGUGCGUAACGCGUGGGAACCUGCCCUUAGGUUCGGAAUAACUCCCCGAAAGGGGUGCUAAUACCGGAUAAUGUCUUCGGACCAAAGAUUUAUCGCCUUUGGAUGGGCCCGCGUUGGAUUAGCUAGUUGGUAGGGUAAAAGCCUACCAAGGCGACGAUCCAUAGCUGGUCUGAGAGGAUGAUCAGCCACACUGGGACUGAGACACGGCCCAGACUCCUACGGGAGGCAGCAGUGGGGAAUAUUGGACGAUGGGCGAAAGCCUGAUCCAGCAAUGCCGCGUGAGUGAUGAAGGCCUUAGGGUUGUAAAGCUCUUUUACCCGGGAUGAUAAUGACAGUACCGGGAGAAUAAGCCCCGGCUAACUCCGUG